rfam:Candidatus Altiarchaeum sp. CG2_30_32_3053 cg_3.0_sub100_scaffold_525_c, whole genome shotgun sequence.
GCCUCAGUAGCUCAGUGGUAGAGCGACCGCCUUGUAAGCGGUAGGUUCGUGAGUUCGAUCCUCAUCUGGGGCU